UACGAAGGGUGCUAGCGUUGUUCGGAAUCACUGGGCGUAAAGCGCGCGUAGGCGGCUAUUCAAGUCAGGGGUGAAAUCCUGAGGCUCAACCUCAGAAUUGCCUCUGAAACUGUAUAGCUAGAGUGUCGUAGGGGAUAGCGGAAUUCCUAAUGUAGAGGUGAAAUUCGUAGAUAUUAGGAGGAACACCGGUGGCGAAGUCGGCUAUCUGGACGACAUCUGACGCUUAGGCGCGAAAGCGCGGGGAUCAAACAGG
rnacentral:rRNA from 1 species